rnacentral:rRNA from 1 species
GCAGUCGAGCGGUAACAGAUCCAGCUUGCUGGAUGCUGACGAGCGGCGGACGGGUGAGUAAUGCAUAGGAAUCUGCCCGAUAGUGGGGGAUAACCUGGGGAAACCCAGGCUAAUACCGCAUACGUCCUACGGGAGAAAGGGGGCUCCGGCUCCCGCUAUGGGAUGAGCCUAUGUCGGAUUAGCUAGUUGGUGAGGUAACGGCUCACCAAGGCCACGAUCCGUAGCUGGUCUGAGAGGAUGAUCAGCCACAUCGGGACUGAGACACGGCCCGAACUCCUACGGGAGGCAGCAGUGGGGAAUAUUGGACAAUGGGGGAAACCCUGAUCCAGCCAUGCCGCGUGUGUGAAGAAGGCCCUCGGGUUGUAAAGCACUUUCAGCGAGGAAGAACGCCUAACGGUUAAUACCCGCUAGGAAAGACAUCACUCGCAGAAGAAGCACCGGCUAACUCCGUGCCAGCAGCCGCGGUAAUACGGAGGGUGCAAGCGUUAAUCGGAAUUACUGGGCGUAAAGCGCGCGUAGGUGGCUUGAUAAGCCGGUUGUGAAAGCCCCGGGCUCAACCUGGGAACGGCAUCCGGAACUGUCAAGCUAGAGUGCAGGAGAGGAAGGUAGAAUUCCCGGUGUAGCGGUGAAAUGCGUAGAGAUCGGGAGGAAUACCAGUGGCGA